rnacentral:RNase_P_RNA from 1 species
UGACACAGCUAACUGCUAUGCAAAUAGAGGAAAAUCCGCUCUAACACAUUCUGCGAUGAAUGUAGUGUUCAUGCUAGAUCUAAGAAAUCUAGGCAACCUGAUUAGUUGACGACUAGUGCAACAGAGACGAGCUUAUUAAAUUAAGGUGCAACGAUGUAAACUCCAUGAGUUAGAAACCCAAAUUUUGGUAGGGGAACUAUAUCAAAGGAAAUGAACAGCGAUAUGGAAGUAUAUAUUACUUAGAUAAAUAGUUAGCGCCUGCAAAGGUACAGAAAGCGGUUUAUCGUG